GACGAACGAUGGCGGAGGGGCGAACACAUGCAAGUCGAACGGAAAGGCCCUGCUUUUGUGGGGUGCUCGAGUGGCGAACGGGUGAGUAACACGUGAGUAACCUGCCCUUGACUUUGGGAUAACUUCAGGAAACUGGGGCUAAUACCGGAUAGGAGCUCCUGCUGCAUGGUGGGGGUUGGAAAGUUUCGGCGGUUGGGGAUGGAAUCGCGGCUUAUCAGCUUGUUGGUGGGGUAGUGGCUUACCAAGGCUUUGACGGGUAGCCGGCCUGAGAGGGUGACCGGCCACAUUGGGCCUGAGAUACGGCCCAGACUCGUACGGGAGGCAGCAGUGGGGAAUAUUGCACAAUGGGCGGAAGCCUGAUGCAGCAACGCCGCGUGCGGGAUGCCGGCCUUCGUGUUGUAAACCGCUUUCGCCUGUGACGAAGCGUGAGUGACGGUAAUGGGUAAAGAAGCACCGGCUAACUACGUG
rnacentral:rRNA from 1 species